CCCGACUUAGCUCAGGCUGGCAGAGCGGUCGACUGUAGAUCGACUUGUCCCAGGUUCAAAUCCUGGAGUCGGGA
rfam:Candidatus Nanosalina sp. J07AB43 genomic scaffold scf_7180000030742, whole genome shotgun sequence.